CGGCACGUAGCGCAGCCUGGUAGCGCACCGUCAUGGGGUGUCGGGGGUCGGAUGUUCAAAUCCUCUCGUGCCGACCA
rnacentral:tRNA from 1 species